AUGCUCCCUUCAGCAGCACAUAUACUAAACUGGAAGGACACAAAGAGGAUUACCAUGGCUUCUGUGCAAGGGGACACAUUCCCAAGGCAUUUCAUACCUUU
ensembl:snRNA Gm25371 predicted gene, 25371